CCUACGGGUGGCUGCAGUGGGGAAUAUUGCACAAUGGGGGAAACCCUGAUGCAGCGACGCCGCGUGAGUGAAGAAGUAUCUCGGUACGUAAAGCUCUAUCAGCAGGGAAGAAAAUGACGGUACCUGACUAAGAAGCCCCGGCUAACUAAGUGCCAGCAGCCGCGGUAAUACGUAGGGGGCAAGCUUUAUCCGGAUUUACUGGGGGUAAAGGGAGCGUAGACGGCCGCACAAGUCUGGAGUGAAAUCCCGGGGCUUAACCCCGGAACUGCGUUGGAAACUGUGCGGCUGGAGUGCAGGAGGGGUAAGCGGAAUUCCUAGUGUAGCGGUGAAAUGCAUAGAUAUUAGGAGGAACACCGGUGGCGAAGGCGGCUUACUGGACUGUAACUGACGUUGAGGCUCGAAAGCGUGGGGAGCAAACAGGAUUAGAUACCCGAGUAGUC
rnacentral:rRNA from 1 species